GGGAAGUAAACCGAGCGCUUGGUGAGUGUGGUGGGGCCUGGAGCGCGUGUGAGGGUACACUGUUCGCUUCCCUUUCUGGGGAAGCUGCACUCUGGGAUCCAUGCUUAGCCUCCAGUCUGAUACGGUCCACUCGGGAGUAAGGCGCCCCUGCGGCUGGGCACUGCUGCAGCUCUGCCGGCAGAAGCAGAGCUGCCAGGGUUGGCUGAUUUGUAUCACUGGGGGAAGGUUGGCAUCAGGGACACUUUUAUUCUCUGUGGAAGGAGCAGCAGACCUUUGAGCUGCAGGUAAAGGAAUUUGACUGGAAACUCAAUUUUUAAGAAAUAACAAGGAAAAUGGACCUUCUGGCAUCUGGGUGCUCAACAGAGACAGUGGAACACUAUUCUGGCCAGAAGAGAAGGAGGCACAGCACAGGCAGAGUGGAAUAAUAAAAGGAAGCAGAGUAAUAAUGAGAUUUUAUAUAAUGCUAUCAUGACUGACUGGAAGAGAAAUUCAGAUGUUUUGUCCUUGAGAUCACCAUCCUGAGCCUCAACACCGAAGAUAUUUAAAAACAGCAGAUGGAUUUCUUACUGUACCAGAUGAAGUAGAACAACUGUAGGUGAUAACAUCUGUGUUGCCUGUGCCUUUGCAUUUUAAGAGUGCUCUCAGGAACACGUGCAAAUACUGCAGGCCCUUUGACCUGCCACGUGCUGACCCCACAGUUGUCUCACAGGCUGACUACAAGGAGCCUUGUCAAUUGUAUCUGCAAGACUGGAGUUGCUCAGGCAUUUGAAGUUGUGGGUGCACCUUCACCCAUAUCUGGGACUGUGUUUACAAUUUCACAGUUUUGGAUCUACCCAAAACUGGACUUCAGAAAGGUCACCAACAGACUUCAAAGAUAAUAUCUGUCUUCACAUCUGUGAGAGAGAGCAACAAUUGCCUCCUAUAUUUUACAGCCUGGAAUGUAUGAAAAAUGAACUUCUGAGAAACUGAGUUUUACAAAUACUCAGAAAAUGGGAAGAAAUAACACAGAGGAAAAGGAAAUGGGCAAUGGAUAAAAUGAUAAGGAUUUUUGGCAUCUAAUGGAAAAGGAGAGAGAAACACCUACAAAAUACAAAUCUGCACAUAAAAGUCUUCCUGAACCCUAAAAAUGACAUGCAGUAUGUUAGAUCAUUAUUUUCCUUCUCUGUUACGUCUCUUGCCCUAUUAAUUCCCCUACAUAUACCACAUUUGAUGUGUUCUCGUUAUGCUUAUAUUCCUUCCUGUUACCCCAUAUGAACUAGGAAACUUACCAUGUCUUCCCUUGGAGCUCCAAAUCUCCAAGCACAAAGUAUCCAUGUUCUGUGCCAUGAGCAGUCUUCAGAGAGUUACCUUCGGUCUAGCUUACAGUAGCAUGCAGCUGUCUCUUGGCAAGCACACUACCUAGCGAGCAUGUUGGCACUGUGGUGUCCUGAGGCCGUGAUGCUGCCUGCGGUUCCUUGGCCUCUCUGUGCUGUGUAAACAUGUCUACCGUCUUUAAUGAUCUCAGCUGGUGGCCUUGACACAAAACAACAGAACUUGGAGGCUGCCUUUUGCUGUCGUCUGUAUGCAGUAACCAGGGAAAGGUUUCACCUCUACCAUGGAUUUAGCAGAAUGCCGCCAAAACUGAAGGUGGUGUGAACUCCCAUGCACUGAAUUCAGUGAACCAGAAUUUUCCCACUGAAUUCAUCUGCUUGGAAAUGGAAGUUACAGGUUUACUUCAUCACACAGAUGCCCUGAUGCAUUACAGUUGUGUAUAUUCCUUGAACAGUGCAGUUUACCCACUCAGUUUGAGGACAAGGACAGAGACAGCCUGGCAAAUUGCUCUGAGGUUGUUGAAGGCAGAACCUGUCCAGCUGUACUGUCUGUCCUGUCCCUGCUGUGGUUGGCCUGGCAGGGUGGAGCACCUGCACACGUCGCAGUGCAAAGUCUGCUGUCUUAGCACAAACUGGCUGUCACCAGCACUUUAAAGAAAAUUGCUGGACUUUGCAUCUGAGGCUUGUACGCACAGCCCCAGCCGGCUUUCUUCUGUGGGGAUGUUUUCUCCUGGGAAACAAGUGGUAAUGAAUUGUGGAGGACCUAGAAGCAGAAUAAUUAUUUCUGUUCAUGAGUAUCCAAAGACUUACAGACUUUUUUCCAUGGAUUUGCAGAAAUCGAUCCUUAGUCCCAUUUAAAUGACUACACCAGACGUUCUCAACUGAAUGAAAAUGUACAUGGUAUGCAGGCACCAAAGAUUGCAAAUAAAUGUUUUUCAAAACCGCCUGUAAUUAUGCAAAGUAAAUUUUAUGCAAGAAGUGGCGCCACCUAAAUGACAAAAUAACAUACGCACAUGUUAGAAAAGAGUCUUUUCAAAGGAUCGCCACCCUCCUGGAAUAGCUAGAGUCUUCAAUUACAAGUUAAUCUAUCCUAGUAAUAUUAAUUUGGGAGUUGAUUGGGAGUGGUCCUCUGUUUUUUCAGUAGUUAUUGUAUUCUUUCUACUCUUUCAAUUCUACAGAAUUACCUCCUGUAUGAACACCAUGUGGCAACAUGACUAGUUCUGCUGCAACUUUCCCCAUGACAAGGUAAGAAAUCCAGAGUUAGACGGCUCAGAUGUAACCAAAGCUGAUUUAUAGCUAGAGUUUGUUAAUUUCUCAUUUUAAACUCAGACCCGAGCAGUCAGUUAUAUACUGUCAACAAGCCUGAUACUUACGUUUUUUUCCCAAUUACCCUCUUUUCUGUGUCUCCUGGUAAGUAGAACCAGGAGUAGAACCCACUGGUCUUGUGGCAUUGGGCUGCAGUGCUUCACCAAGGACCCAGAGGAAACAGGGCUGCUCCAGCUAUAUCAGUUAGAAUCUGCUGUCUGCUCCUGUGCCACCAUCCAUGUUCUUCAUGCAGCCUCUCCAUGGAGCUGGACUGUGGUUGAGAGUACAACUGCAGUUGCUUGAAGGAGAGGAUACAAGUCUGUAAAGGUUGCAAACCUGAAGCUCCCUUACUUAGUUGGUGCAAUGAACCAGAUUCUAACUGCCUACAAUUUGAAAGCUUCCAGGAAGACCAUGAAAGGAGUAUCUGAUAUGUUGGUGCUGCUGCAGUAAUAGCUGUGUCAAAACCAGGUGUUGCAACUUCCUAAACAGUAGUAAUAGAUGAGUUGAUACCACCUACUUCCUUAGUUCUUCUUUUCCUGCUUUGUCAUAAGGGUGGCUGUCUAGGACUAGAAAAAGGAAGACAGUGAAGUUUUAAAGGAUUUGCAAUUGUAAGCAGCUGAGAAGGAAAUGAGCACUAAUUCUUGUCAGAAGCAGACUACUAAGCUGCAGGCUGAGUGACGCCCUGUGGGUCCAAGAUCCACUAUACAGAAGUGGGAAUAGUGAGUCUGAAAGUUAAGAGUCUCAGUUGGCCAUUAGUAAUUCUUCUGGUCAUCUGUGAAAGUCUCAGGGAUGGUCCAGUCAAUAGAGCCAUAUCAUUCAUGAAUCUAAGUUUAGGUCACUCUAAGAAGCAUAGCAGACUUGAAAAAGAAAGUUUUAAUGGAUCAGAAGAAGCAACAUUGAUUUUGAGAAAAUAGACACCUUCAUCUAGGACCUUUCCCGAUGAGUCCUCACAUCUGUGACUGCUUUGUACCAAAAUUGACUUUAUAGUCCACACAACCUGGUCUUUAUGAACCCCAGAGGCAGAGUUUUCCUUCCACUGAAUUCCCCUAGUGAAGAUCCAAACUCUUGUCAUCGCGUGACUUAAUAGAUAUUCACUUUGAAUCAAAAAACCUUACACAAAGAUGUUUAAUUGUGUAUUACAUUCAUCCAUGUGUCUUCUCUGUGAGACCAGAGUCUCUUAUAAUAUAAACCAGUUUGAAUUCUCUUUUAUCAUACAUCUGAAAGAAAACAAAGAACAACAAAAACCUCCCACACCAUUUAAAAUGUGUUUACCUGAACUUCUCACCUUAUUACAGAUAGACAUGUGGUGGGAUGGGGAAUUCUGUGUCCUGUUUGUCUUGCUCUGUCACCACAUGCAUGGAACUCAUAUUUCCAGUACAGCAUCAUGACUUCUCUUUGACAGGCCAUGAAGAUGUGUAUUUGCAAAGGCUUAGAGAGCAAUGGAGACACAUUGACAUGGCCACUUCUACAGUUGCCAUCCCUUAGUACUGUUUAGCUGUGUCAUCUCCCAGCCUAGGCAAACAUAAAUAAAGCAAGCCCUCAGAAUUAAUAUCUCUGUCUCUGUUUUCUAGACGGACCACUAAACGAAAUGUGUAAGACUUCACCUAUCUGUAAUGCUGACCAGCUACUGUUAAAAAAACCUUCUUUUCUGUCUCUGCUUUCAUGCUUUGAUAAUCAUUCCCCUUCCUGUUCAUGGGAUGACUUUAUUGUCUUCAUUUUGUCCAUUUUUAUAUUAAAUACUUCCCUUUGGGUUUUGC